rnacentral:rRNA from 1 species
UAAUACGUAGGGUGCAAGCGUUGUCCGGAUUUAUUGGGCGUAAAGAGCUCGUAGGCGGUUAGUCACGUCGGAUGUGAAAACCCGGGGCUUAACUCCGGGCCUGCAUUCGAUACGGGCUGACUAGAGUGUUGUAGGGGAGACUGGAACUCCUGGUGUAGCGGUGAAAUGCGCAGAUAUCAGGAAGAACACCGGUGGCGAAGGCGGGUCUCUGGGCAACUACUGACGCUGAGGAGCGAAAGCGUGGGGAGCGAACAGG